GGCCCACUAUUUGCUGAAGCCUCCUCACAGGGCUAUCAACGUCGACAGCCCGCAAAACCUCACGACAAAGGCGCCGU
rnacentral:ncRNA from 1 species